rnacentral:lncRNA from 10 species
CUGUUUGGUGCCCUGGUCGCGUGUCUUCCGAACUCUGCUGCUUCGCCCCGGCAAGAGCACUUCCUUCCGCGGCUGCUAAAACUGGUGCGCGGGUUCCCAACUUCGCAGAAGAGCUUCAUCGGCCCCCCGCUAGAGACCUCAGACCGCAGCCAUCGACGCCUCGCCUCGGGGAUCUGUCCCCACCCUCGGGGCCAGGUCAGGGACCAGAGACCUGCGAAGCCCUCUCCUUAGGGGUUUAGUUCCCAGGCUUUCUGACCCCAGUAAUUCCAAACGCUUCCCUUUGUUUCCACAGCCCUAGCGUAGCAGGUGCUCCCUGCAGUUUUUGCUUCUGAGAUAGAGUUCUCUUUUCAGCUCCUUCGGUAGUCACUUCGUACAUAGUGAUUCAUGAUGCGAAAUCCUCUCUGUUGAAAUAACUGACGAGGCCUCUGUCUUCUGACUGGACCCUGACUUCCAUGCCCUUUCCACUCUCACUCCAGUACAUGCCCAAACCCCAAUCUUUGUUGCUCCAGGCAUUGCCUCUGUGGCGCUGUGUCCCCUCCUUUGAACUCUGAUCCUUCUGCUCAGGCCCUUUCUCCCAGUCUGAAGUAAGGAGUGAAAAAAUGUGAAUUGUUCUACUCAUCUGGAAAAGAGAACCCUGAGGCAGGAACAAGUCGUUAAUUGCAUGUGCGUUUGUCCACAGCUCACCAUGAGUCAGGCCCUGUGCUAGGUGCUGGGAUGAAGCAGUGACUGACACAGGCCUGGACCUGUCCUUGGGAAGAGUGCGUCUGUGACACAGAUACUGUGCCAUGUGGCAAAGUAAGCGCGUGGGACAGCAGAGCCUUGUUUGCCAUUAAAGUAAUAUCACAAGUCUGUUAA